AUUGAACGCUGGCGGCAGGCUUAACACAUGCAAGUCGAGCGAGCGGCGGACGGGUGAGUAAUGUCUGGGAAACUGCCUGAUGGAGGGGGAUAACUACUGGAAACGGUAGCUAAUACCGCAUACCAUAAGAUGAGCCCAGGUGGGAUUAGGUAGUUGGUGGGGUAAUGGCUCACCUAGGCGACGAUCCCUAGCUGGUCUGAGAGGAUGACCAGCCACACUGGGACUGAGACACGGCCCAGACUCCUACGGGAGGCAGCAGUGGGGAAUAUUGCGCAAUGGGCGCAAGCCUGAUGCAGCCAUGCCGCGUGUGUGAAGAAGGCCUUCGGGUUGUAAAGCCCUUUCGGUGGGGAGGCGUUACUCGCAGAAGAAGCACCGGCUAACUCCGUGCCAGCAGCCGCGGUAAUAC
rnacentral:rRNA from 1 species